rnacentral:rRNA from 1 species
CAGCAGCCACGGUAAUACGUAGGGUGCGAGCGUUAAUCGGAAUUACUGGGCGUAAAGCGUGCGCAGGCGGUUGUGUAAGACAGGUGUGAAAUCCCCGGGCUUAACCUGGGAACUGCGCUUGUGACUGCACAGCUAGAGUAUGGCAGAGGGGGGUGGAAUUCCACGUGUAGCAGUGAAAUGCGUAGAGAUGUGGAGGAACACCGAUGGCGAAGGCAGCCCCCUGGGCCAAUACUGACGCUCGUGCACGAAAGCGUGGGGAGCAAACAGGAUUAGAUACCCUGUAGUCCCUGUCUCUUAUACA